rnacentral:tRNA from 1 species
GGAGAGGUGGCCGAGUGGCUGAAGGCGCUCCCCUGCUAAGGGAGUAAGGGGGAAACCCCUUCGAGGGUUCGAAUCCCUCUCUCUCCGCCA